CAGUAGCCGCGGUAAUACAGAGGAUGCAAGCGUUAUCCGGAAUGAUUGGGCGUAAAGCGUCUGUAGGUGGCUUUCCAAGUCCGCCGUCAAAUCCCAGGGCUCAACCCUGGACAGGCGGUGGAAACUACCAAGCUGGAGUACGGUAGGGGCAGAGGGAAUUUCCAGUGGAGCGGUGAAAUGCGUUGAGAUCGAAAGGAACACCAACAGCGAAAGCACUCUGCUGGGACAACACUGACACUAAGAGACGAAAGCUAGGGGAGCAAAUGGGAUUAGAUACCCCAGUAGUCCCUGUCUCUUAUAC
rnacentral:rRNA from 1 species